GAUCCCCAAAUCCAGCUUUAUGUUGUUAAAUGUAGCACCAGGGUUCUGGAUGAACAUUGUCUAAUUACUCAGUGUACUGUGUCAGCUAUAUAUGGCUGAAAUGACAACAAAAGCUUCUUGACUUGAUGGACCAGAGAGUGAAGGAAAAGCAGCCAACAAGUACUUAUGAGACUGAGGCACUCAAUUAGACGCCUAAAUCACUAAGUGAGGACCCCAAUAAAGUCUCGCGCUCGCUUCUCAGCUCGUUCUUUCCUUCCUCCCUGUUUACUGGUGUUUACAAUGAAGGUUCCGGAUGGAGACAUGGUCCUGGAAUCCAGACGUGCUGUUAAUGGUAUAUUAGAAUGGUCUUGGGAUAACACCUAGUUGUUUUUCCUCCCUGUUGUUGAACGACCAACAAUCGUGUUGCUUCCUGCUCUCACAUGAAGGCAUCAGAUCCCUGAUCAGAUUUGGGCUGGUGUGUAGGACUGGGGGUUUCACCAGGAUGGGUGUUUUGUACCCCAAGUGCAAAUGAUUUUCAGGUUCAGUCACUGCACCGGUGGAGCGCGAGCUGCAACGCAGACAUGAUUUACCUUCGUGAGGAGUUGUGAAAUUUAUGUUGAACCUCCAGUCUGCCAAUCAAGUUGCUUCCUGCUCUCACAUGAAGGCAUCAGAUCCUGAUCAGAUUUGGGCUGGUGUGUAGGACUGGGGGUUUCACCAGGAUGGGUGUUUUGUACCCCAAGUGCAAAUGAUUUUCAGAUUCAGUCACUGCACCGGUGGAGCGCGAGCUGUAACGCAGACAUGAUUUACCUUUGUGUUGUGAAAUGUAAUUGCUUACAAUUUGAUACCAAAUAAAGAUUGUUUAAUAUUC